rnacentral:misc_RNA from 1 species
UUGGAAGGAUGUAUAACGAAUCAAUACAAUUGGUGCCAAAUGGGACCAUCAUUUAUCAGAAUGGCAUACCUUGUACUUAUCAUAAUGGAAUGGCUUUCUACUCACCUCCCGAUUCACUUUAUCAAGUGCCACAACAACAGGCAGCCUGCCCCAUGGUGUAUGGACAGCCAGUGUAUGUACCUCCACAGCAGUACCAGUAUCAGCCUACAAUGUCUCCACAGUGGGCAGCCAGUAAUCCGUGGCGGUUGACUCCUACAGCUGGAAGUACAAGCUUUGCAUCUGUGAAUAAUACUGAGGGUGGGGCUCUUUUCCCUUCUUUGUUACCUCCUACAUCUUUCUUUUUCUCAGACAGAAACUUCUGACAUUUAUUUUGAUGAGACACAGAAAGGAUAUUGGACCUUUGCACUUGUCCCUUAGCUCCUCUGUGUCUGGCCAGUUCCUUUAUUCUGCUGUUCCAUCAGUGCCUACAGUUACAGCUGCAACAACCACUCCAGCCUCAUCAGAGGUGUAUCAUUAUCACGCCAUACCUCAAUAUACGCAC